rnacentral:lncRNA from 1 species
AUGGGAAUGAGGACGCUUGCUUGUGCGCCCCAGGCCCCGGGGUACCUGGGGGAACUUGGGGCCCGCCCCACCUCGCGCGGAGGGGCCAUGAAGCGAUUUCCACUCAACUGCAAGUGGCCCCGGGACCCGCCCCCUACACGCACGCGUGCACACACGCGCGCAUACACACACACACACCCUCUCUCACGCUUGCCGUGUGCAAUGCAGAAUUCCGGAGAGGAGGCACGUCCCCCCGCGGGCUGGCGGGUGAGAGCCGGCAAAGAACCUGCGCAGGGGCAAGGUAGGCUCCCAAGAAGCUCUCCGACGGACAUGAACGGUACAGCCCCAUCCCAGGCUUUCCACUUCGGGUCCCGUUACCAAGUCUUAGGUGCACGUGGACAGCGGGCCGCACACCCUUCACAGGCACGCUCGCAUUUCUGCGCACAUCCGCAGGCCGCGGUAACGGUGCCCAUCCGGAGUCCGUACACGUCCCCACGCGGUGUACACACAUGUACCGCGCCAGGUGCACAGCCGCGCGUGCCUGCAAAUACCGGAACAGUCGUGCACGCGUGCACAGGCGCGCGCCCCUCGAGCCGGGCGCUGCGGGAGCCAGGGGAAGUUGGGGCGAACUCGCGCCGGCCUCGGCGCUCUUCCGAGGAGCUUCGCGGAGUGCGGAGCCGCAGCGCCCCCUGGUGCUCCUCCCGCGCCUCGCUACUGGUUCUCCCUCUCCCGCUUUCUCUCUCUCUCCCAUCCUUCUCCCGCUCUCCCUUCGGUCGUGUCUUCCUCCUCCCCAGCCGGCGGAGCCCAGGUCUCCCUCUGGGACGUACCUGUAGCCGGAGAAGGUCGAGGAUGCAGUGGGGCGCGCUGCGCGCACGAGCAUCUCGGCCGCCUCAGCAGCCACCGGGUUUAGCGGGUUCCCGCAUGCUGCGGCCCCCGCGCGCUCCCCUGGCUGUCCCGCGCUGUCCGCAUCGCCCCCACGGGGGGCGGCUAUCCAAGCCGGAGGCUCUGCAGCAGGGCUCUACCGGAGCGGAGAAGAGAUGGAGAGGGAGGGUCAGCCCACUGGCGGGGGGAGGGAGAGUGGGGGGCAGGCUGCAGUCUGCAGUGCUCACAGCCCCUCUGUGCGCACAGGGGGCUCGACUGGAGAGGGGCAGCUGA